rnacentral:rRNA from 1 species
UACGUAGGGUGCGAGCGUUAAUCGGAAUUACUGGGCGUAAAGCGUGCGCAGGCGGCUGUCUAAGUCUGGGGUGAAAGGUUCAACGCUUAACGUGAACAGUGCCUUGGAGACUGGAUGGCUUGAAUGUGGCAGAGGAUAGUGGAAUGGCUGGUGUAGCGGUGAAAUGCGUAGAUAUCAGUCGGAACACCCAUGGCGAAGGCAGCUAUCUGGGCUAACAUUGACGCUGAGGUGCGAAAGCGUGGGGAGCGAACGGG